rnacentral:lncRNA from 1 species
UAGUUCUAAAGAGUCAAAAGUGGUUUUAGAGAUAUUAUGCUUGUUUUUACAUUGUUUAGGCAGGAUUUGGUAAGAAUUGAAUGAUGGAAGUGAAGAGGGAAGGACUUGGACUCAAGAAAGGAUGAGAAAAGAUGAGAAGAAGGAGUCACGUCCGUCGCUCAACGACAAUUCUAGUGCUGAGCGGUAGCUUUCAGAAUUGCCUAACGCUGAGCGUCGAUGUUAAGGGGAGAAGAGGAGAAUCGCCCACAGUUGAGUGCCAGAAUUGACCGUUGAGCAUCCUGCGAUACUGAAGCCUAACACUGAGCGGUUAAUUGGAUGCUGA